GACGAACGCUGGCGGCGUGCUUAACACAUGCAAGUCGAACGGGUCUGCCCUGUUUUUUGCGGGGUGGGUCAGUGGCGAACGGGUGAGUAACACGUGAGUAACCUGCCCCUCACUUCUGGAUAACCGCUUGAAAGGGUGGCUAAUACGGGGUGUUCUGGCUGUGCCGCAUGGUGUGGCUGGGAAAGAUUCACUUUUGUGGUGUUUUGGUGGGGGAUGGGCUCGCGGCCUAUCAGCUUGUUGGUGGGGUGAUGGCCUGCCAAGGCUUUGACGGGUAGCCGGCCUGCGAGGGUGGGCGGUCACACUGGGACUGAGCUACGGCCCAGACUCCUGCGGGAGGCAGCAGUGGGGGGUAUUGCACAAUGGGCGGAAGCCUGAUGCAGCGGCGUCGCGUGAGGGAUGGAGGCCUUCGGGUUGUGAACCUCUUUCGCCGGUGAAGAAGGUCCUGCUCUUUGUGGUGGGGUUGACGGUAGCCGGGUUAUGAAGCGCCGGCUAACUACGUG
rnacentral:rRNA from 1 species